rnacentral:rRNA from 1 species
UUAGAGUUUGAUCCUGGCUCAGGACGAACGCUGGCGGCGUGCUUAACACAUGCAAGUCGAACGAUGAUCCGGUGCUUGCACCGGGGAUUAGUGGCGAACGGGUGAGUAACACGUGAGUAACCUGCCCUUGACUCUGGGAUAAGCCUGGGAAACCGGGUCUAAUACCGGAUACGACCUUUCACCGCAUGGUGGUUGGUGGAAAGAUUUUUUGGUUUUGGAUGGACUCGCGGCCUAUCAGCUUGUUGGUGAGGUAAUGGCUCACCAAGGCGACGACGGGUAGCCGGCCUGAGAGGGUGACCGGCCACACUGGGACUGAGACACGGCCCAGACUCCUACGGGAGGCAGCAGUGGGGAAUAUUCCACAAUGGGCGAAAGCCUGAUGGAGCAACGCCGCGUGCAGGAUGAAGGCCCUAGGGUCGUAAACUGCUUUUAUCUGUGAAGAUUAUGACGGUAGCAGAUGAAUAAGGAUCGGCUAACUCCGUGCCAGCAGCCGCGGUCAUACGGAGGAUCCGAGCGUUAUCCGGAAUGACUGGGCGUAAAGAGUUGCGUAGGUGGCAUGUUAAGCGAAAUGUGAAAUCGGGUGGCUCAACCAUCCGGCUAUAUUUCGAACUGGCAAGCUAGAGCACAUGAGGGGUACCUGGAAUUCCCGGUGUAGGAGUGAAAUCCGUAGAUAUCGGGAGGAACACCAAUGGCGUAGGCAGGGUACUGGCAUGUGGCUGACACUAAGGCACGAAAGCGUGGGGAGCGAACGGGAUUAGAUACCCCGGUAGUCCACGCCGUAAACUAUGGAUGCUAGCUGUGGGGGGUAUCGACCCCCUCCGUAGCGAAGCUAACGCGUUAAGCAUCCCGCCUGAGUAGUACGAGCGCAAGCUUAAAACUCAAAGGAAUUGACGGGGACCCGCACAAGCGGUGGAGCGUGUUGUUUAAUUCGAUGAUAAGCGAAGAACCUUACCAGGGUUUGACAUCCCGAGAAGGCUUCCGAAAGGAAACUGUGCCGUAAGGAACUCGGUGACAGGUGUUGCAUGGCCGUCGUCAGCUCGUGUCGUGAGAUGUUGGGUUAAGUCCCGCAACGAGCGCAACCCUUAUGUUUAGUUGGAUUUUUCUAAACAGACUGCCUCGGCAACGGGGAGGAAGGGGGGGAUGAUGUCAGGUCAGUAUUACCCUUACAUCCUGGGCUACAAACACGCUACAAUGGCCGGUACAAAGGGCGGCGAAGCCGCGAGGUGGAGCAAACCCCAUCAAAGCCGGUCCCAGUUCGGAUUGCAGGCUGAAACUCGCCUGCAUGAAGUCGGAAUCGCUAGUAACCGUAGGUCAGCACACUACGGUGAAUACGUUCCCGGGUCUUGUACACACCGCCCGUCAAGCCACGAAAGUCGCCAACACCCGAAGUACGCUUCGCGCGUCCUAAGGUGGGGGAGAUGAUUGGGGUUAAGUCGUAACAAGGUAACC